UUUUAGGUAUCUUAAAUUUAAGAUUUGAAUUUUUAAUUCAAUUUAUAAUAAAUUAAUAAUUAUUUCUAAAAA
rnacentral:tRNA from 1 species